AGGGAAGGGAGAGCGGCCAUUGGUGGACUACCGAAAGACUUAGCACCGUUAAAACCGCCAUCCCAGUAUGGUUUAAAAAACUAAAAACUAUUUUAUCUCUUAAUGCCUUGAAUGUAAGAAUUACAAAUGAUGACCUACAAACCGCUACCGUCACAGGUGUAGAAAACAUCCUUGUAGACGAAACCUUAGAUAUAAACAGCACAGUUACAAACAAAGAAUAUGAAGUAGAGAAAAUAAUGAAAAGGAGGAGGAGGGGGGGAACUUAUGAGUUCUUGCUGAGGUGGAAGGGUUUUCCUCCAUCUGCUGAUUCUUGGGAAAAGGAAGAAAACCU